GAUAAAGAAGUAUAUGAAGGAUUUAAUUUCACGAUUGCAGAGGACUCAAAAGAUGCAUUAAAGUUCUAGCGGAUCAAAGAUCGAGAAAUGAUAUGGUUUUAACUGGUUUCCAUCUUAUGAACAAGAUUCUGUAUCACAAUGAUAUCCUGGCUUAUGGAUACGAUAUCCUAUAUAUCCACUCACACACAUAAAUUUUACUCACACACAUAUAUCCUGUAAAUCCACUCACACACAUAAAUCUUAAAAAGGAUGUUUAUAUUUUUAUCUAUAAAUUGUAUAUUUUGUAUAAAUAAAUUGUAUAUUUUUUAUAUUUUUCAUUGUACGUUACUGUUUGUAUUAAAAAUACACUUUAGAACUAUUGGAAGUGCAGAGUUCAACAUACAAUUUAGUUUUAUUUGAUAAUUCAAUAUACAUUAUAGCCAAGUUUAAUUAUGUUUAAUAGUAUUUUGCAAUAUUUUCUCCAGCGCAUUUAAGCGUUGAUGUAACGUUAUAUUUCAACCUUUACUUAACGUCUUUGAGUCAC